CUGACCUCGAAUCAGACGUGAAUACCCGC
rnacentral:rRNA from 1 species